rnacentral:rRNA from 1 species
UACGUAGGUGGCAAGCGUUGUCCGGAUUUACUGGGCGUAAAGAGCGCGCAGGCGGUCGUUCAAGUCGCGUGUGAAAGCCCCCGGCUCAACUGGGGAGGGUCACGCGAUACUGAUCGACUCGAAGGCAGGAGAGGGUAGUGGAAUUCCCGGUGUAGUGGUGAAAUUCGUAGAUAUUGGGAAGAACACCGGUGGCGAAGGCGGCGACCUGUCCGAUACUGACGCGAGGCGCGAAAGCGUGGGGAGCAAACAGG